UUGGUGAUAAUGAUGACCAAACUUUUUUCCCCAUCUGACCGACUGUGUAGAUUACUUUGAAAAACUAAGCCAAAUUUCCUGAUAUCACCAU